rnacentral:tRNA from 1 species
UCCUUGUUAGUAUAGUGGUAAGUAUCCCUGCCUGCUACACGGGAGACCUGGGUUCGAUCCCCUGACAGGGAG